UCCGGGCGCGCGGAAUUCAGAACCGACGAGCAUACUUCGUCGAUUCGAUAUUUCCGCCGCCGACCCGUAGAACCGGGUGCGGACGUCGCGACCCGUUCGUCGUCGAUCUGACGAGUCGCGUUUCGAGUUCGAGGCGCGCGCGUUUCGUUCGCGUGCGCGCGCGUCGCGAUGGCGCGAUACUCGGAUCGGCGUGCGCGGACGGUAGCUGUGAACGCGCGGGUAAUCGACGCCGACGAUAUACGGUCGUAUUGCUGCGACGGUAUAUGUUCGAGCGUCGACGCCGGUCAGCGACGAAUUUUCGGGCCUCUUUCCGACCCGUCUUGAAACACGGACCAAGGAGUCUAACGUGCGCGCGAGUCGCGGGGUACUCGAGUCGUUAGUUUUUUUUCGUUUUUUUUUAAAAGUGGAAAAAGACGACGCGAUUCGUUACACGAACGAAACCCGUUAUACGUACGUUGUGCGAAGGCGUAAUGAAAGUGAGGCGACGCGUUUCGGCGCGUCGCCGGGGAAGACGGUGCUAUUUCCGUGUACACGUUCCUCGGUCGCACCGUGUAACCGAGGCCGGACACCCGCAUUCCCAGGGCGUCCCGUCCGUCCGUCGAUGGCGCGGACGUGCGUUCGCGUACGUCGGCCGUCGACGAACUGGGGCGCACCUAUAGCGUGCACGUUGGUACCCGAAAGAUGGUGAACUAUGCCCGGCCAGGAUGAAGUCAGGGGAAACCCUGAUGGAGGUCCGCAGCGAUUCUGACGUGCAAA
rnacentral:rRNA from 1 species